UACGGAGGUUGCAAGCGUUGUUCGGAAUGACUGGGCGUAAAGGGAGCGCAGGCGGCUUGUUAAGUCUGGAGUGAAAGCCCCGGGGGCUCAACCCCGGCGGGUCGUUCGGUAGUACUGGCGAGACUAGAGUACGGAAGAGGAAAGACGGAUUACCACGGUGUAGCGGUGAAAUAGCGUAGAUAUCUGGAGGAACACCGGUGGCG
rnacentral:rRNA from 1 species